UUUGGAUUUGUGUUGGUAGCUGUUUGCAAUUCAAAUUAGUUUGUCAAGUGGUUUCAGAUUCUUCAAUCAGGGUCCUGAAGUUAACCUGGGGACACUGAGUGAAGGCUGUAAUUGCAAAGAUGUUUUCACAUGGGUGAAUUGGAAGCACUAUCGAUGAAAAGCAAACGACGGAAUAGGGCCCUGGAUUGCUGUGGCUGAAUGGAAGGGAAAAUGAAACAAGCUGAAGACUAUAGGAUGUCAACUGUGAAUAUAUCAAGCAACUCACAAGCUGCCAUAUUGAUGUGACAUGAUGAAGUGGGAAGGAAAGCCAUCUGGAGUUUCACUGGUGAAUUGAUACAUCUUGCACUUACCAUUGUGUAUCCCCCGGACUUUGAUCAAAUGGACAUGGGCCUUCUGAUCUGCAGAGUGCCUGGAAAUUCAGCCUCAAAACCUUCCUUAUGACCUAAUGGUUUCCUGCACAGGCAUCUGGAUAUCCACAGCCUGCUCCAAAUUCUGCUGUGAAAUGUUCAUAUCUUUGAUGAGGUCACCUGCACAAAGGCAUCAGGAAGUUGCGGAGUGAGAUGAUGUUAGUUCCAGACCACAGUCCACCUUGCACUGACCCUGUAAUCUUGUAGCAAAAAAAAUCAUGGGUGUUUACAAUUGUCCAUACCCUUUGACCUAGCAAUUAUAUCUCUUACAUCUAUCCUAGAGAAAUAAUUGUAGAUAUGCCCAAAGGUUUGGUUAUAAGGAUGUUUAUGACCACAAUUUUUACAAGAAAAAAAAUAUUGUUUAAGGCCUGCUCAGUGGCCUGUUUUUGUUUCCCCCACAUUCAUAUGUUAAAGCCCUAACCCCCAAUGUGAUAGUGUUCAGAAGUGGGAGCCUUUGGGAGGUGACUAGGUUUAGAUGAUGUAAUGAGGGUAGAGCCCUCAUCUCCCUCUCUUCCUCUUUCUGUAAUAUGAGGUGGGAAGAUACAGCAAGAAACAUCUGCAAGCCAGGAGAGUGUCCUCACCAGGAACCUUGAUUUUGGACUUCCUAGCCUCCAGAAUUGUGAGAAAUAAAUAUCUAUUGUUCAAGCCACCCAGUCUGUAGUAUUUUGUUAUAAUAGUCAGAGCUAAGACGUAUAUGAUAAAAUACUAUACAUCAGUGGGGCUCAAACCAGAAAGCUUGUUAAAUAAAACACAGAUUGCUGUUCCUCCCCACCCCCUCAGAGUUUCUGAUUCAGUAAAUCUAGGAUGGGGUCUAGGAAUUUGUAUUUCUAUCAAGUUCCCAGGGGAUGGUGAUGCUGCUGAUAUUUGGACCACACUUCAGGAAGCACUGCUAUACAGGAAUAUGUGAUGACAUAAUCUCUUUAUAUUAUUACCCUUAAAAG